CUCUCAGCUCCCUCAGCUCCCUGUGGCCCCCACUCAGCUCCCAUUGGCUCCUGCAGAAUGUUCCACGGCCACUAAAGCAUCAAGAAAACAUGCUGCAAAUUAGAGUUGGUUGUGUCUCGCUCUCCUGCAGAACUUCCCUUAGCCGUAAGUGCCCUGAAUAUCAAAAUUUUGAAUCAAAUCACAAAAAAACAGUUUUACUCACUGUCAACAGACCAACAUGAAUGUUUUCAUAGUGAAUGUAUGUUGUCAUUAAAUCACUAAGGUCUGAAGAAGACCGAUUGCAGGACAGAAAACGGCGACGAGUGCAAGGAGGGCUACGGACGCUGGGAAUUUGACAGAACUGGAUUCCGGGAACAGGGUUGCUUGUUAUGGGCCAGAAAAAUACCCUGAUACUUGCCAUUGUUAAACAUUUAUGGAAGCUUAAGGAAUGUAUUUGGCUAGGCUAAAACUAUUUUUUUUUCUUUGCAGAUCAAUUUUUUUUUGC